rnacentral:lncRNA from 1 species
UAGGGAUUCAUGGAGUCACUGAAUCAUAACAAGGUUAAUUGCCAGGGUUGUUGAAAUCACCCUGUGUAGCUCUCUCCCCACUGCCAGAUGGACAACUGAGGCAUGGAGAAGCUUAUUGGCUUGCCAAGGAUCUUACAGCAAACAACUCCUAAACAGAACUAGAAUGCAGAAUAUACAGAACCUAUAGAAAUAUACAAGCAUCAAAGAAGUAGAGGAACUCCUGGGGUCCUGAGACUUGGGACUUGGACUCAGCGGUCUGCAUUCAGGUCGAGUUCAGUCAUUGGGAUGGAAGUGAUACAGUCCCCCUUGGGAGCGAUACCAAAGUGCUUACCGAGCACUUGCUUCAAGCUGAGAUGACUGAACUCUCCUCCCCUCUCC